CUUGUCUCUUCUAGCUCCAAGACCUUGUUUUCAGACCUGUGAGCAACAUGUCCCACCAAACUCUACAGGGACUUGUUGUUAAACAUUAUAAAUAAAAUGACUGGAGUGUCCCUUGACCUUAAUGUUGUCCUCAACCGGCGACAGAAUGUUAAGCAAACUGUGUGGUAUGUGUUCGAGAAGAUCUUCACACUGGACUUUGCUACCCAACUGAACUGGUGUGGGAGGGGGCAGAAGACUGUCAUCCGGUCAAUGACACUGAAGGAUGCUAUUAUGUGUUCUGUUCUUAAAAACCCACAUUUGCCAGGAAUUACUGAGUUUGAGAGCCAAAGGGCGGGGACAGCAGCUGGAGGGAGAGACCUGCGGAAGAAGAGGACGAUUAAUUUGUAGCCUAUAUAAUGCACAAUUGUUGGGUGUUUUUGUUUAGGCUUCUUUAGUUUUUUCUAUGUUUUUUAAAUUGUACAUUCUGUAAAUACAGUUCAUACCGUAGUCUUUAUUUUGUCUCUUCACUUACGUCAGCAGUAGAUGUAUUAAAUGUCGGCAGUAGAUCUAUUAACCGUCGGCAAUAGAGCUAUUAAAUAUUGCGUCGGCAGAGAAGUGGGAAGCAUCGUUCAAACAUUGGCGGAAGGGAAAAAUCUACGUCUACUUGACAUCUUGCCGAUGGUCUGCCGAGGUCUGGAAAGCUUUAUGUAACCAAAUGGGGGUCUCGGUCAGUCUUUCCACUGGGUACCACCCACAGUCUAAUGGUCAGACCUCGGACAGCCCCUCCUUCGUUGGACCUCGGUGGGGGACCUUUGUGUUCUGUUCGGGCCAUUCUGUCCUCAUGACGCCGGUGUGUUCAUCUGCAGUAAUUGGUGGACUGGGAGGGUUACCAGCCCGACGAACAGACCUGGGUCCAUGCUCAGGACGUCCUCAACCCUGCUCUCCUUUGGGCAUUUCAUCACAACCGCCUGGAUCGUCCUGCUCCUAGGCCCAGGGGUAGACCCCCUGGCUGGAAACCUUGGUCUUCUGGAACGCCUGUGCAGAGGGGACUUCUGUAAGGUCUGCGGGCACCUCUAACCUUCAACAGCCUCCCCAGGAAUACACAGCCUCCGAAUGUCAAGUUCCCAGCUCACACAAACGCACCAUACCUCCCCAUUCUCAAUCACCAGAAUUCUAAGCCACCUGUUUCUCAUUAGCCCUUCAGUAUAUAGGUGCUGGUCAUAAAAUUAGAAUAUCAUCAAAAAGUUGAUUUGUUUCAUUAUGUGACAACUGCGACCUCUGCUGGUUCACCUCCCCCUGCAGCGGGCGGGCCUCAGCGGUCGACGUCACCUGCUUUCUGACGCCACCGUCUCAUCAUACAUUUCACCUGUGUCUCGUUUAUGCACCUGUUCCUCAUCAUCGCUGUUUCCCCCGGUAUAUAUGUUCCCUCUGCUCCCCCUGUCUUUGUGUGUAAUUGUCUCUUGCUUAUUGAAGAGCUGUUCAACGCUUUGUGAAAGCUUAUGCUGAUUUUCUCUCGCUGGGAUACAUUAAACUAUCCUUCCAUCAAGCCUUCUCCGGUUCCUCCUUGCUCCUCUCAACCCCGAAGCCGUGACAGAAUUACACACCCAACAAGACAGCAAGGAUAUGGAGCCUACGGGAGCCACAGGCGAGGUCGGUGUUGCGGAGGCGGUCCAAGUACAUUCAACGAUGCUGGCCAGCCUAGGCGCUGCAAUGGACAACGUCUUAAAAGCGGUGCAGCGCCUAGAGCUGAGCCAGCAGACCCCCGCAGCACCGGCCGUUUCUCCGCCUGCCCCUGCCGUGCCGCCAAGCAUGGGGGCACUACAUCUCCCCUUGCCCAGGGACUUCGACGGGGCGGCGGACCGCUGCC
ensembl:lncRNA